rnacentral:rRNA from 1 species
AACGAACGCUGGCGGCAUGCCUAACACAUGCAAGUCGAACGAGACCUUCGGGUCUAGUGGCGCACGGGUGCGUAACGCGUGGGAACCUGCCCUUAGGUUCGGAAUAACUCCCCGAAAGGGGUGCUAAUACCGGAUAAUGUCUUCGGACCAAAGAUUUAUCGCCGUUGGAUGGGCCCGCGUUGGUUUAGCUAGUUGGUAGGGUAAAAGCCUACCAAGGCGACGAUCCAUAGCUGGUCUGAGAGGAUGAUCAGCCACACUGGGACUGAGACACGGCCCAGACUCCUACGAGAGGCAGCAGUGGGGAAUAUUGGACAAUGGGCGGAAGCCUGAGCCAGCAAUGCCGCGUGAGUGAAGAAGGCCUUAGGGUUGUAAAGCUCUUUUACCCGGGAUGAUAAUGACAGUACCGGGAGAAUAAGCGCCGGCUAACUCCGUG